GCCCUGUUAGAUCAAUAGUAGAUCGCCGCUCUCCUAAAGCGGAGGUUCCGGGUGCAAGUCCCGGGCAGGGUC
rfam:Valsa mali var. pyri strain SXYL134 unplaced genomic scaffold scaffold00135, whole genome shotgun sequence.